CUAUACAUGCAGUCGAGCGCAGGAAGCAGCUAGAUCCCUUCGGGGUGAUAGCUGUGGAAUGAGCGGCGGACGGGUGAGUAACACGUGGGCAACCUGCCUUCUAGACUGGGAUAACUCCGGGAAACCGGAGCUAAUACCGGAUAAUCAACGGGAUCGCAUGAUCCUGUUGUAAAAGUGGGGAUUUUAUCCUCACACUAGAAGAUGGGCCCGCGGCGCAUUAGCUAGUUGGUAAGGUAAGAGCUUACCAAGGCAACGAUGCGUAGCCGACCUGAGAGGGUGAUCGGCCACACUGGAACUGAGACACGGUCCAGACUCCUACGGGAGGCAGCAGUAGGGAAUCAUCCGCAAUGGACGAAAGUCUGACGGUGCAACGCCGCGUGAACGAUGAAGGUUUUCGGAUCGUAAAGUUCUGUUAUGAGGGAAGAACAAGUGCCGUUCAAAUAGGGCGGCACCUUGACGGUACCUCACGAGAAAGCCCCGGCUAACUACGUGCCAGCAGCCGCGGUAAUACGUAGGGGGCAAGCGUUGUCCGGAAUUAUUGGGCGUAAAGCGCGCGCAGGCGGUCUCUUAAGUCUGAUGUGAAAGCCCACGGCUCAACCGUGGAGGGUCAUUGGAAACUGGGGGACUUGAGUGUAGGAGAGGAAAGUGGAAUUCCACGUGUAGCGGUGAAAUGCGUAGAUAUGUGGAGGAACACCAGUGGCGAAGGCGACUUUCUGGCCUACAACUGACGCUGAGGUGCGAAAGCGUGGGGAGCAAACAGGAUUAGAUACCCUGGUAGUCCACGCCGUAAACGAUGAGUGCUAGGUGUUAGGGGUUUCGAUGCCCUUAGUGCCGAAGUUAACACAUUAAGCACUCCGCCUGGGGAGUACGGCCGCAAGGCUGAAACUCAAAGGAAUUGACGGGGGCCCGCACAAGCAGUGGAGCAUGUGGUUUAAUUCGAAGCAACGCGAAGAACCUUACCAGGUCUUGACAUCCUCUGACCACCCAAGAGAUUGGGCUUUCCCCUUCGGGGGACAGAGUGACAGGUGGUGCAUGGUUGUCGUCAGCUCGUGUCGUGAGAUGUUGGGUUAAGUCCCGCAACGAGCGCAACCCUUGAUCUUAGUUGCCAGCAUUUAGUUGGGCACUCUAAGGUGACUGCCGGUGAUAAACCGGAGGAAAGGUGGGGAUGACGUCAAAUCAUCAUGCCCCUUAUGACCUGGGGCUACACACGUGGCUACAAUGGAUGGUACAAAGGGCAGCAAGAACCGCGAGGUCAAGCGAAUCCCAUAAAAGCCAUUCUCCAGUUCGGAUUGCACGGCUGCAACUCGCCUGCAUGAAGCCGGAAUUGCUAGUAAUUCGCGGAAUCAGCAAUUGCCGCGGGUGAAUACGUUCCCCGGGCCUUUGUGACACACCGCCCCUCACACCACAGAGAAUGUUUGUAACACCCAGAACGUCGGUGAGGUAACCUUUUGGAGCCAGCCGCCGAAGGUGGCCAAAUAUGGGGGUGGGA
rnacentral:rRNA from 1 species